rnacentral:rRNA from 1 species
AGAGUUUGAUCAUGGCUCAGAACGUACGCUGGCGGCACGCCUAACACAUGCAAGUCGAACGAAGUAGCAAUACUUAGUGGCAGACGGGUGAGUAACAUGUAGGUAUCUUCCCUUUGGCCUGGAAUAACACGAGGAAACUUGUGCUAAUACCGGAUAAGUCUUUACAGAGAAAGCUUUAUGCACCAUUGGAUGAGCCUGCACUUGAUUAGUUUGUUGGUAGGGUAAUGGCCUACCAAGACUGUGAUCAAUAGCUGAUUUGAGAGGAUGAUCAGCCACAUUGGGACUGAGACACGGCCCAAACUCCUACGGGAGGCAGCAGUGGGGAAUCUUGCACAAUGGAGGAAACUCUGAUGCAGCGAUGCCGCGUGAGUGAAGAAGGCCUUUGGGUUGUAAAGCUCUUUCGUCGGGGAAGAAAAUGACUGUACCCGAAUAAGAAGGUCCGGCUAACUUCGUGCCAGCAGCCGCGGUAAUACGAAGGGACCUAGCGUAGUUCGGAAUUACUGGGCUUAAAGAGUUCGUAGGUGGUUGAAAAAGUUGGUGGUGAAAUCCCAGAGCUUAACUCUGGAACUGCCAUCAAAACUUUUCAGCUAGAGUUUGAUAGAGGAAAGCAGAAUUUCUAGUGUAGAGGUGAAAUUCGUAGAUAUUAGAAAGAAUACCAAUUGCGAAGGCAGCUUUCUGGAUCAUUACUGACACUGAGGAACGAAAGCAUGGGUAGCGAAGAGGAUUAGAUACCCUCGUAGUCCAUGCCGUAAACGAUGUGUGUUAGACGUUGGAAAUUUAUUUUCAGUGUCGCAGCGAAAGCGAUAAACACACCGCCUGGGGAGUACGACCGCAAGGUUAAAACUCAAAUGAAUUGACGGGGACCCGCACAAGUAGUGGAGCAUGUGGUUUAAUUCGAAGAUACGCGCAGAACCUUACCAACACUUGACAUGUUCGUCGCGACUUUAAGAGAUUAAAGUUUUCGGUUCGGCCGGACGAAACACAGGUGCUGCAUGGCUGUCGUCAGCUCGUGUCGUGAGAUGUUGGGUUAAGUCCCGCAACGAGCGCAACCCUCACUUUUAGUUGCCAUCAUUAAGUUGGGCACUCUGAAAGAACUGCCAGUGAUAAGCUGGAGGAAGGUGGGGAUGACGUCAAGUCCUCAUGGCCCUUACGUGUUGGGCUACACACGUGCUACAAUGGUAUUUACAACAGGAAGCAAGACGGCGACGUCAAGCAAAUCCUUAAAAAAUACCUCAGUUCGGAUUGCACUCUGCAACUCGAGUGCAUGAAGCUGGAAUUACUAGUAAUCGUGGAUCAGCGUGCCACGGUGAAUGCGUUCCCGGGUCUUGUACACACCGCCCGUCACACCAUGGGAGUUGGUUCUACCUUAAGGCAAGGUUUUAAACCCUUGACUACGGUAUAGUCAGCGACUGGGGUGAAGUCAUAACAAGGUAACCGUA